GCUCCGUGGCCCGCGCGCAUCCGCCGCCAUCCGCCGCCGCUGCUGCCUCCCGGGCUCCCCGCCCAUCAGACCCCGCCGCGGCUCCUGCUGCGCGGAUCCAGAGGGACUCAGGAAGCCGCCAGGAAGAAGAAAGUACAUUCAAGGGACCUAGCACCGUAAUUAGCGCGGUUCCGGUUAAUUAAGGCUACCGAGGCCUCGCCCCUCGUCUGCCAGGGGAGAAAUUCCAUGGGAAUGCCGUGACUGAGACACGGAGCUCCGUCCUGGCAGGAGUUACCUGUCGGCAGCAGUGCCCAGGGAUCUGUCCAGAGGCACGGAAGGAGAGGCCAGAGCACCGUGGCAAAUUCCCUGUGGAAAAACGAGGAGGAUUCUCGACACCAGAAUCGAAUUAAACAUGACCCCGUGGUUUUAACGUG